GGCGGUGUAGCUCAGCUGGUUAGAGCACGCGGCUCAUAUCCGCGGCGUCCGGGGUUCGAAUCCCUGCACCGCUACCA
rnacentral:tRNA from 1 species